rnacentral:rRNA from 1 species
GAUGAACGCUGGCGGCGUGCCUAAUACAUGCAAGUCGAGCGAACAGACGAGGAGCUUGUUCCUCUGACGUUAGCGGCGGACGGGUGAGUAACACGUGGAUAACCUACUUAUAAGACUGGGAUAACUUCGGGAAACCGGAGCUAAUACCGGAUAAUAUAUUGUACCGCAUGGUUCAAUAGUGAAAGACGGUUUUGCCGUCACUUAUAGAUGGAUCCGCGCCGCAUUAGCUAGUUGGUAAGGUAACGGCUUACCAAGGCAACGAUGCGUAGCCGACCUGAGAGGGUGAUCGGCCACACUGGAACUGAGACACGGUCCAGACUCCUACGGGAGGCAGCAGUAGGGAAUCUUCCGCAAAGGGCGAAAGCCUGACGGAGCAACGCCGCGUGAGUGAUGAAGGUCUUCGGAUCGUAAAACUCUGUUAUUAGGGAAGAACAAAUGUGUAAGUAACUAUGCACGUCUUGACGGUACCUAAUCAGAAAGCCACGGCUAACUACGUG